rnacentral:ncRNA from 1 species
AACUAGCUACCACCGGGUAGCAAUAUGCCAAGCAUAUCGUUAUACAUCGUUAGGUCUUUGAAGAUGUAUGGCUGGUACGCUUAUUUUU